rnacentral:rRNA from 1 species
CCCUUAGAUGUUCUGGGCCGCACGCGCGCUACACUGAUACGGUCAACAAGUAGUACCUUCAUCGAAAGAUGUGGGGAACCUUUAAAACCGUAUCGUGUUAGGGCUUGACAAUUGCAAUUAUUUGUCAUUAACGAGGAAUUCCUAGUAAGCGCAAGUCAUCAACUUGCAUUGAUUACGUCCCUGCCCUUUGUACACACCGCCCGUCGCUCCUACCGAUUGAAUGUUCCGGUGAACAGUUUGGAGCUAUGGCUUUCAUUGGGGAAACUCAAUGUCAGCCAAUUGGUGAAUUUCUGUAAACCUUAACAUUUAGAGGAAGGAGAANUCGUANCA